rnacentral:rRNA from 1 species
GACGAACGCUGGCGGCAGGCCUAACACAUGCAAGUCGAGCGGACCUUUCGGGGUCAGCGGCGGACGGGUGAGUAACGCGUGGGAAUAUGCCCUUCUCUACGGAAUAGUCCUGGGAAACUGGGGUUAAUACCGUAUACGCCCAUUGGGGGAAAGAUUUAUCGGGGAAGGAUUAGCCCGCGUUGGAUUAGGUAGUUGGUGGGGUAAUGGCCUACCAAGCCGACGAUCCAGAGCUGGUUUGAGAGGAUGAUCAGCCACACUGGGACUGAGACACGGCCCAGACUCCUACGGGAGGCAGCAGUGGGGAAUCUUAGACAAUGGGGGCAACCCUGAUCUAGCCAUGCCGCGUGAGUGAUGAAGGCCUUAGGGUUGUAAAGCUCUUUCAGCUGGGAAGAUAAUGACGGUACCAGCAGAAGAAGCCCCGGCUAACUCCGUG